CCGUAGCCCAAGAGAUCGGGAUAACACCUGGAAACAGAUGCUAAUACCGGAUAACAACAGAUGAUGCCUAUCAACUGUUUAGAAGAUGGUUCUGCUAUCACUCUUGGAUGGACCUGCGGUGCAUUAGCUAGUUGGUAGGGUAACGGCCUACCAAGGCGAUGAUGCAUAGCCGAGUUGAGAGACUGAUCGGCCACAUUGGGACUGAGACACGGCCCAAACUCCUACGGGAGGCAGCAGGU
rnacentral:rRNA from 1 species